AUGCCGAUCGCUCUGCGAGAAAUUUAGGCAUUUUCAUCAGGCCAUAUAUCGGUGGAAUCAACACUGGCUCUGGAGUUCUGAGAUCUAAAAUUUACUACAGUUUCUGACUACAGUGACCUUGAUACAAUCACUUCAGUUCUUUGAAUUUCAGCUUCCUUAUGUGUAAAAUGAGGUUACAGGGCUUGAAUGAAAUGAUUUCUAAGCUCUUACCAUGGUGAGAGUCUCUGAGCAACCUUUUCCCUCCCUAUACUCUAUUCUCAUAUACCUUACUGAGAAUAACCUUUGGAGACUGGAGUAAGGGCAUUCCCAAUAGGGAGAAUAAGGAGUAGUUUGAAGAGCCCUGAACUGAAGGAGAAGGAUAUUGGCUCCAAUCUUUUGUAUCUAUACAACUUCUCUCUCUUCACCACCCACUCAGCAAAGAGCACAUUCUCUUUCUUUGAAGAAUGGAACCAAGGCCAGCAUUUGAAGUCAGCUUUGUUGGGAGGUAUAGAAGAACAGCUUGCAUUAGCCAAGAAGAGCAAUAAAGAAAAUCACCCUUCUUUUCCUUUAUCCAAGAUCAAGAAAAAAUGCUAGAAGGAAUGACUGGGUCAAAUUAAGCCUUAGAGAGCCUCCAACUCUUACAAUGUCUCACUGUGAUGCCUGGAUGCCUCCCGCAUCGAUACACUGUGACAGUACAAUCUCUCCCAGAAUGAGAAUGUCAUGAAAUGAUGUGUUGGGCUCUUUCCAAUCCCAUUUAGCCAGGGGGUAUUUCUCCAGUUCUUCAAAGGCAGAUAUCAUUGCUCAAAGGACCACUGGCAUCUACUGGGAAGACAUAACCCUUCCUCCUGCAGGCUUGCUUUCAAAAGUCAGACUAACUGUAUACUAGUCAUUUGGUGGAAAUCAAUCAGAAUUCUUUAGUGUUAUGUAUGUCCUACAGCAAAAUCGAGAGAAGAUUUUCCAUACAAAUCUCAUGUACAACAUCACAAGGUUCUCUACCUAGAGUGCAACUACCGGGCUUCUUAGUACAAGGUGAAGAUGAGGUCCUCAAAGGUGAAGCAACAUAUCCAUGCUCAUACAGUUGAUUUUGUCUAUUUGGAACCAAAGGGAAGAAUCAGAAGUUCUGCAAAAGUGAACAUUGAAGAGAGGAACAUUUUCAACCAAUGUGAAGAAAAAUCAUAGAAUUCACAAGAAGAAGGCUAGGUAUAGUGAGUAGAAUGUUGGAUCUGCAGUUAAGGAAACCUGAGUUCAAAUAUAGCUUAAUUUAAAUAUUAGCUAUGUGACCCAGAACAUGUCAUAUAGCUUUUGCCUCUGUUUUUAAUCUAUAAAAUGGAAAUAAUACUCAACUUUGAAAUUAGUUUUUUGAGGAUAAAAUAAAAUAAUAUAUGUAAAGUACUCUAUAAAUCUU
rnacentral:lncRNA from 1 species